UACGGGGGGAGCAAGCGUUGUUCGGAUUUACUGGGCGUAAAGGGCGCGUAGGCGGCCACCGCAAGUCGAUUGUGAAAUCUCCGGGCUUAACCCGGAAAGGUCAACCGAUACUGCGGGGCUAGAGUGCAGAAGGGGCAACUGGAAUUCUCGGUGUAGCGGUGAAAUGCGUAGAUAUCGAGAGGAACACCUGCGGCGAAGGCGGGUUGCUGGGCUGACACUGACGCUGAGGAGCGAAAGCAUGGGGGAGCGAACAGG
rnacentral:rRNA from 1 species